rnacentral:rRNA from 1 species
GAUGAACGCUGGCGGCGUGCCUAAUACAUGCAAGUCGAGCGAACAGAUGAGGAGCUUGCUCCUCUGACGUUAGCGGCGGACGGGUGAGUAACACGUGGAUAACCUACCUAUAAGACUGGGAUAACUUCGGGAAACCGGAGCUAAUACCGGAUAAUAUAUUGAACCGCAUGGUUCAAUAGUGAAAGACGGUUUUGCUGUCACUUAUAGAUGGAUCCGCGCCGCAUUAGCUAGUUGGUAAGGUAACGGCUUACCAAGGCAACGAUGCGUAGCCGACCUGAGAGGGUGAUCGGCCACACUGGAAGUGAGACACGGUCCAGACUCCUACGGGAGGCAGCAGUAGGGAAUCUUACGCAAUGGGCGAAAGCUUGACGGAGCAACGCCGCGUGAGUGAUGAAGGUGUUCGGAUCGUAAAACUCUGUUAUUAGGGAAGAACAAAUGUGUAAGUAACUAUGCACGUCUUGACGGUACCUAAUCAGAAAGCCACGGCUAACUACGUG